rnacentral:SRP_RNA from 1 species
CCGUGCAGCCGGGGAGAUAGCGGUGCCCUGUACCUGCAAUCCGCUAUAGCAGGGGUGAUGUUCUGCCCCGGGUGAUUUUAUUGUAGGGCAGCCCUUUAUAAGUGGUGUUGACGUUUGGGUCUUACGCAACAGGAAUUUGUGAACCGUGUCAGGUCAGGAAUGAAGCAGCACUAAGCAAAACCUCCUGUGUGCCGUGAGGAUGCCUGGACCGAGUUAACUGUAAAGGUAACGCCUAUGGUAUUCAUCCAAAGCAGAACGCACGG